rnacentral:tRNA from 1 species
GGGGAUAUAGCUCAGUUGGUAGAGUGCUUGCCUUGCACGCAUGAGGCCCGGGUUCAAUCCCCAGCACCA